rnacentral:rRNA from 1 species
GUGGAUUAGAUACCCUGGUAGUCCACACCGUAAACGAUGGAUACUAGGUGUAGGAUGUGAUAAACAUUCUGUGCCGUCGCAAACGCAAUAAGUAUCCCACCUGGGGAGUACGGCCGCAAGGUUGAAACUCAAAGGAAUUGACGGGGGCCCGCACAAGCAGUGGAGUAUGUGGUUUAAUUCGACGCAACGCGAAGAACCUUACCAGGGCUUGACAUAUACAGGAAUAAUUAAGAGAUUAAUUAGCUCUUCGGAGUCUGUAUACAGGUGGUGCACGUUCGUCGUCAGCU